rnacentral:rRNA from 1 species
UACGAAGGGGGCUAGCGUUGUUCGGAAUUACUGGGCGUAAAGCGCACGUAGGCGGCUACUUAAGUCAGGGGUGAAAUCCCGGGGCUCAACCCCGGAACUGCCUUUGAUACUGGGUAUCUCGAGUCCGGAAGAGGUGAGUGGAAUUCCGAGUGUAGAGGUGAAAUUCGUAGAUAUUCGGAAGAACACCAGUGGCGAAGGCGACUUACUGGACACAUAUUGACGCUGAGGUGCGAAAGCGUGGGGAGCAAACAGG